UGGUCACAUCAGCCGGCAAAACUUUCUUUGUAGCUAGACUUCAGCUUUACUCGUGUCUCUUAUAGAUAUUAGGGAUGUUUCGUCCAACCUUAAAGUCGUGUUAUGUUAACAAAAGUCCGUGCACGCGUGCGGCAAUGUAUGCUUUUUAGGUUUCACUUUCAUUUCAUAACGCGGCAGUGGAGCACUUUUUUAUUGCUGAGGGGAGAAAACACUUUGUUGUGGAUUUAGAGGAACACUGGAAACAAGAGAAAAGGGUGUGAGGAGAGGACAGAAGGAUGGACAGAGGGAUGAGCAGAGGACAGAAUGAUGGACAGAAGCCAGAGGACAGAGGGAUGGACAGAGGACAGAAGGAUGGACAGAGUACAGAAGGAUGAGCAGAGGACAAGCGCAGAUACACACCCUUGAGGUGUGUUUCUGUGAGUCUUCAGCUCAGUGAAAAAUUGCAUUGCUGACCAAGCAGAGGACAGAGAGGGAGUCGAAAAGAAGGGGGAGAUGCAAGGAAAGUGAGGAAGGGAGAGGCUGACGAGCAAUAGCAGCCUGCUAAGCCCUUGAGGCUUAGCUCACAACCUGCUGAAAUAAUGGAAAUCAUUAGAAGAAAGACGAUUCCCAUCUGACUUUCAUUCCCAUCUGACUUGCCCAGGUUAGAUGACGGCAAAGCGCUGCCUGUCUGCCAGCAUUCCUGAAAGCUUUUCAUCUCUGCUCCGAUUCAUCUGGGAAGACGAAGAGAACGAGGGAGAGAAAGUGGAAUGGGGUGGGGAGCUGUAUUGUGACUGGAUUUUUCAGCCUUUUGCGGUUAACCUGCGCUGGACACUGCGUUGUGGAUCGACACUUAAUUUCCCAGCUGGUCUGACGUAUGUUUGUGAAAAGGACACUCGGAGCUGAGAGCACACCUCACAGGGACAGACUCAGACCCAUACAGGCAAACGUGUCACCCCAAGCAACAAGCAAAAAAAAAAAAACACAAGUGGACACACAAAUAGUCUACACACCUCAGCAAACAAAGUAAUGCCAUAUUACAUUGUGAAAGACAAGAUGACCAUGAAAACUGACCUUCCAUCAGAUCUUUGGAUCGUCAUGAAUAAUCAUUUUGAAGAGAUUAUUUUAUAAUGUGAGCAAAUAAGCAUCUGAGCAUCCUCCACCUGCCGUGAGAAGCAUCUGCAAGGGAACAGUCGAGUGCAAAAAUUUGCUACCUUAUCACUAAAUUUCCACUCACAUCAGACAAUCUGACAACACCAACAUUUCAUAAAACCUCUGCAAAAGAAACAAUCUGGGACUACACAAUGUGUAUUCCAAUUCCAGCAGUGCUCAAAGACCCUCUGAAGUUAGUACCAGCUUCAGUACUGAAGUUAGUACUGAUUUUCAAAGAUCUGGCAACUUGCUUCUGACGGAUUGUUUGUUGCUGUUACGCCACUCUGAAUUUCACAUGGUUGUAUACGCUUCUUUUAUUUCUGUUUAGCACUCUUCUGGUUAUUAAUUGUAUCUACUCUGAACGUUAUUUAACAACAGACCUGUUGUGAAUCGCUAGCAGUUAGCAUUCCCUAGCGGUUAGCAUUUGCUAGCAGUUAGCGUUGGCUAGCUAGGUCCACCCCUCCCCUCUCGUCGUUACUUUUACAGCUGUUCUUUUUUACCAGUUUAACACUUCUGUUCGUUUUUCAGUCAAACUGCUGUGAAUUUUAAGUAAUUAUUUUACUACUGUGUAAAAUCUUAGGAGUGGCUAGCAUUUUCGCUAGCGGUUAGCUUGCGUUAGCUAUU